rnacentral:rRNA from 1 species
CCAGACUCCUACGGGAGGCAGCAGUGGGGAAUAUUGCACAAUGGGGGAAACCCUGAUGCAGCGACGCCGCGUGAAGGACGAAGUAUUUCGGUACGUAAACUUCUAUCAGCAGGGAAGAAAAUGACGGUACCUGACCAAGAAGCCCCGGCUAACUACGUGCCAGCAGCCGCGGUAAUACGUAGGGGGCAAGCGUUAUCCGGAUUUACUGGGUGUAAAGGGAGCGUAGACGGCCAUGCAAGUCUGAUGUGAAAACCCGGGGCUCAACCCCGGGACUGCAUUGGAAACUGUGCGGCUGGAGUGUCGGAGAGGCAAGUGGAAUUCCUAGUGUAGCGGUGAAAUGCGUAGAUAUUAGGAGGAACACCAGUGGCGAAGGCGGCUUGCUGGACGACGACUGACGUUGAGGCUCGAAAGCGUGGGGAGCAAACAGGAUUAGAUACCCUUGUAAGC